rnacentral:tRNA from 1 species
GGUUGUGGCUCAGUGGUAUAGUGAUUGCCUCACAUGUGUGAGGCACUGGGUUCGAUUCUCAGCACCA